GUGGGGAAUAUUUGACAAUGGGCGAAAGCCUGAUCCAGCCAUGCCGCGUGAGUGAUGAAGGCCUUAGGGUUGUAAAGCUCUUUCAGUGGGGACGAUAAUGACGGUACCCACAGAAGAAGCCCCGGCUAACUUCGUGCCAGCAGCCGCGGUAAUACGAAGGGGGCUAGCGUUGUUCGGAUUUACUGGGCGUAAAGCGCACGUAGGCGGAUCGUUAAGUCAGGGGUGAAAUCCUGGAGCUCAACUCCAGAACUGCCUUUGAUACUGGCGAUCUAGAGUCCGGAAGAGGUGAGUGGAACUCCUAGUGUAGAGGUGGAAUUCGUAGAUAUUAGGAAGAACACCAGUGGCGAAGGCGGCUCACUGGUCCGGUACUGACGCUGAGGUGCGAAAGCGUGGGGAGCAAACAGGAUUAGAUACCCGAGUAGUCC
rnacentral:rRNA from 1 species